UUAACGUCGGAGGGAGGAUAGAAUACUGGUGGGGAAUGGAGUAACUCCACCCCACCGUCUUUGUAGACGCGGAAGAAGGGGAACUCGAGUGACACCUCCUUUUCUUCCAUGGUAGCUUCCACUCUCCUUUUCUUGAUUGUUGUUGUGCUUAGAGAAAUAGAGCUCCACCGUGCAGUCGCCAUUGUUGUGUGUUGUGUGUUUGAU
rnacentral:lncRNA from 1 species